CACCUAUGACCUAAGUCCCUAAGGAAUAGCCCCAUCUACCUCCGGUUAGCGGAUCAGGAAGUUCACAUCGACAGCCCUUCUGGCCCUGUUCACCCUUCUAGAUGUCCCACAAUUAAUAUACAAUGCAAACACUGCCAAAUUAAUGACAACACAGCAGUGGACAGCCUCCUCCAAUCAUGGUAGGACUACAGGUCCACAGUCCCACCCAGGUUUCCCACCCGGGUCAAGUGCUGGCAUGCAAGUGUAGCUGCCACUCCCAACAGAGGAGGGCCUCAGUCAUGUCAGCAUCUCUGGUCACAGGUAUGAGGGCACACCCCUGAGAGUAGUAUACCUCAUUUCCAAACACAAAAUUGAUGAAAAGGGGGAUACAUCGUAUUACCCCUAACACAAAUAUACUUUGCCUCAGGUCUCCACUCCCUGGCUCAACAAUCCCAUAUGAGGUAGUAACCAAGACGGCUGUACUAGGCUUUAGUGACAUACCUCUUACCCAGUACAGCAUAGUCCACAUGGGCUCUCACAAAUAAGCCAUCGUCCAGCCACUCGGCAACAUGAGUUCUAGACCUUUGAGGUCUGCCUCCUAUGUAGAGACGGACAUGCAACCCAGUCCGGUGCCUGGCCUAGUAGUAACCAGAGCCACAUUGGCCCAUUCCCAUCUUAGAUACCCUCUCCAUGGUCAUGUAACAGCCAUGAUUCCUAGGGCAGCUCAUCUCCAGCACCCAGUAGAAAUAUCUCCCUCCGGGCAGUAGGAUAUGACUCACUGUUUUAAUCUCUAGUGGGUCCCCCAUUACAGUUAUUGUCAUGGCAAGCACCAACCAUACAGUCAACUUAUUCCAUCUCAAUCUAGCCUAUUGACAGUCUCUCUCCAUACAAACCAUCUUAGCCAUGAGAUGAUGGCACGAGGCAACGCCUCGAUCAAUAUCACUGGUUUCGUGAUUACUGCUAUUACCAUCAUGGGAUAUAUUACCACAGGCUCAUAACCUUUCACAGGCUUUUAACCUCUGGACUCUCUCCAGCUAUCUUAACAUUCUCGCCUAGCUGUUCUUCUGGGAUGGAACUCUCUCCUCCCUCCCCACUGCCAGCUAGGAUAUAAGGUCCAUGACCAUAUAGUUGGAAGAACACACCCAACUAAGCCUAGAGAGUUGUUGUACUGCUUGCAGCCUAGCCUAGCUGCUCUGGGCUCCUUGGAGGAAAAGCGGGAUAUGAAUGUAAUAAUAAUAAUAAUAAUAAUAAUAAGAAGAAGAAGAAGAAGAAGAAGAAGAAGGCAGGCAGAGUGCCAUCAUUCCUGAGGGGUGCUACCUGCCAACCUCUCCCUCAGUACGUCAGCUGGGCACUUGUCCAGUUCCUUACCUAGGCAUGAAAUUUACCAGGCAGAUGGCCAGAGGUUAGCAGGCUCCCUAACACAGUGGAACCCUCACUGUUGGCCUUACAGAGGAACCUAGGAUAUUUGCCUGACUUUGACUCUUCUCUUGACGUCCUAAAGACCAAGGUCCAUCCACAACCAAAACUCUCUCAGGUGUAACUAUGGCACAACUUGGACCCAUAUCAGCAGCUCAGUCUCAUUCCAUAAAACUGACUGACUGUCCAUUUCCUUCUACCAAGAUCUAUAGGCAAGGCAGUGACUUCUCCAACUAUUGCCAGAUGGUUUAGCGCGUGUAUCGUUCUGGCGUACGAAACACAAAACAUUUGGCCUCCCUUAUAUAGCCCACGCAAUGAGGGCGGUGGCAACCUCAACCACCUUUUUUCAACCAAUGUACCAGUCCAGGAAACCUGUAGGGUUGCAACCUGGAAUAAUCUGUCUACGUUCACACAGCAUUUUAAAGUGGGCAUUAUGCCUCCGCCUAGGUGGCUUUUGGUAGACAAGUUCUGCAAGGGUUCUUAUACAGGAGCAGCCAAGAGCGCAUCCCUCUCUGAUGACGUACAGGCUUUGGUAUGUCCCAUCGAGAUGGCCUUGAUUGCAGCAACCAAGAACAGAGCAUUGGUUCACUUACCGUGAAGGCUUCUUCUGGUUGUUGCAGUCAAGGCCAUCUCGGCCCUCCCGGCUAGCCGCUCUUGGGCUGCUCCUGAUGGGGAGGUGUUGCUGUUUUUGUUUUACUCAUUUAGUAUGAGUGCUAGAAUUAGAACAUUCUUCCAGCUGACAAGGGCUCUUCAGUAUCGUGUGUCUAUCCAACUCACCUGUCUGUUCUAACUUACUAUGAUUUACCCCAUGUAGCUUAAUCUGUGGUUGGAAAUAUAGGUCAGUCUUUAUUUGCUAACUUGGCCUGUAAGAACUGGGCGGGGUCAGGCUGGACGGGGUCAAGCUCUAGAGACUUCUAUCUUUCAGCUAAUUAGCAUAGUCCUGCCUUGGAGCACGGGAGGGGGAUGACCCAUCGAGAUGGCCUUGACUGCAGCAACCAGAAGAAGCUUUCACGGUAAGUGAACCAAUGCUCCGAUCUCUGGGGAAUGAAGAAACAAGUAAGGGCCUUCAAUGUUUGUCUGUUUAUUUCCCCGCUGCAGUGGAUUUUGUCCUGCUUUCUCUCUUUUCUCUUGCAGAGUUCCAAGGGCCAGAUGGCAAAAUGCCUGUGGCCUGCUGGAGCGAGAGUAGUUCUAGGGCCUGUAGCUAGACCUCAGACUUUUCAGCCACCUGCCCCAGGAAGCCCCCAUCCAAGGAGAAAGUUGAGUUCCAAAGUCCAGAGAGAAAGAGAAAAAAGAAACCUUGAAGCACAACUACCACAGGCUGCUGCUGAGGAUGCAGUAGCUCUAGGGCCUGAGACUUUUCAGUCCUCACCCUCAGGAAGCCCCUGCCCAAGGCGGAAGUUUUUCUGGUGGUCAGAUGGAAGAAAGACACUUUGAAGAAGAAUGACCACAACCUGCAGCAGCUGUCACUGCUCUGACACAUGCUGCUUGGCUUCAGGCAACAUGCCCCCUCCCUCAUGAAGCCCCUGCCCAAGGCAGAAGUUGGUAAGUCUUUGGGGAAUGGAGUUACAAGUCAGGCCCCUCUGAGUUUAUAUCUUUAUCCUGCCACAGGACUGGAUGUUGGCCAUCUUUUUUCUCUUUCCACUUACAGACUUCCAAAGGCCAGAUGGAAGAAAAGCCCCUUGAAGGACUUGUAGUUGCUCUGGGGCUUGCGCCUUGUAAUAAUUUUUUUAGCAUGGAAAUCCCUACCCACGGCGGAAGUUGGUAAGGCUCUGAGGAAUGGCAGAACAUGUUAGAUGACCCCUCCAUUUGUCUAUGCCACCACAGCCUAGGAUGUUUCCCAGCUUUCUCUCUUUUCUCUUGCAGAGUUCCAAGGUCCAGAUGGAAGAAAGGUUCCCUCAGGCAGAAUGAUCACAUGCUACAUGGACUAUAGUAGCUCAAUUGACUGCUGCUUGGCUUCAAACUCUUCAAACUCCCUCAGGAAGCCUCAGCCCAAGGCGCAAGUUGGUAAGUCUCUGGGGAAUGGAGGAACAAGUCAUCUUUUAUCUUCUUUCCCACUUCAGAUCCGGAAGUUUCCCAACUUUCUCCUACAGAUUUGUGAGAGUCAUAUGACAGAAAGACAAGAGUAAUCACUGUAGCCUACAGGGGUUGUGGCAGCCCUAGGACCUGCAGCUUGGGUUCAGCCUUUUCAGUACCAUCCCUGAAGAAGUCCCUGCCCAAGUUAGGAAUUGGUAUGUUUCUAUUGGAUGGAGGCCACUCUACAUUAAUCUUUUUAUCCUGCCGCAGCACCAGAUGUUGGCCAGCUUUCUCUCUUUUCUCUUGCAGAUUUCCAAAGGGUAGAUGGAAGAAAGACAACUCGAAACAGAAUCUAGAAGCUGUAGUAGCUCGAGGGCCUAUGUCUCUGUCUAAGACAUUUUAGCUUCCUCCCCCAGGAAGCCUCUGCUCAAGGCAGAAGUUGGUAAGUCUCUGGGGAAUGGAGGAACAAGUCAGGCAAUUCAAAAUUCUUAUUUCUUUCUUUUCUGAGAACCAGAUGUUUCCCAGCUUACUCUGUUUUCUCCUGCAGCAUUCCAAGGGCCAGAUGUGAAAACAGUGUCCUCAGAUCAAAUUACCAUGGCCUGCAUGGGCUGUAGCUGUUCUAGGACCUGCUGGUUAGCCUCAAACUUUUCAGCUCCUUCCUCCAGGACUCCCUGGGCCAAGGCUGAAGUUGGUAAGUCUCUGGGGAAUGGAGGAACAAGUCAGGCCACUCUUGUUUUUUCUUUCUAUCCCCUCAGCACUGCAUAUUUCCCAUUGUUCUUUCUUUUCUCUUGAAGAGUUGCCUGGGCCGGAUGGAAGAAAGGUGCCCUGAAGUAGAAUGACCAUGGCUUGCAGGAGCUGUAGCUGCUCUGGAACCUGCUGCUCAACCUGUCUGUUAUGCCCUAUCCUUGAGGAAGCUUCUGCCCAAGGCACAAGUUAGGUCUCUGGGGAACUGAGUAACUAAUCAGGUCACUCUAGGCUCUUCUCUCUAUCCCCCCACAGCAAUGACCGUUUCCCAGCUUUCUCUCUCUUAUUUUGUCCCUGUUCUAAUUCUUAUAUCUUUAUCCUUCCCUUUACCAGUAUUCCUUGCAGGUAACAUAUUCUAAGUACAGCCAGCAUCUUGAAAAAGUAGCAGGAGUGCAUAGUCCCCACUAAGAUAUGAUCCUCCCCAUCUCAAUUUUUAAAAAACAUCUAAAAACCCAUCUCUUUAACCAAGCUUUCUCACCCUUUUAAAAUUUGUUGGUUUUAAUUUUGUGAUUGAUUUUAAAUUGUUGAAUUGUUUUAACACGUGUUUUAAUUGUUUUAUGUUAACCGCCCAGAGACAAAAGUUUGGGCGGUAUAUAAAUGUGAUGAAUGAAUGAAUGAAUAGUCCUAAAGUACAGAAACCACAAGGAGAAAAAAUAUAACAUUAUACCAUGAUAUUUAAUCAUCUGAUUUGUUGUUCAAUCUUAACAAGUAUAGGAGGAGAACAAAGAGCUGGGGCUUCUUAAAGCUUUAAGCGGUGAUCUUAUGCACAGAUCCUUGUGUAUUAAUGCAGGGGGAAAUUGUUUUUUCCACAUUUCAAGAGAAACUUCGUUCAAUUCACUUUUGCACAGAGUACAUAUCUCUUGAAGGCAAAGAUCAGAGAUUUUUAUAAGUCUAGGAAUAUUGUCCUUUGUGUUGCUGUGUUACUGUUUUUCAUUUAAACUAUGUUCAGUGCAGUACAGAGAUUAAAGUUUCUUUUCCACAUAACUAUUUCCUGAAGUGAGAAGGUCAUAACAUUCAAUCACUCCUUUGCACUAAAGCAUCUUAAACAUUAUUAUUCUGAAAUAGUUGUGUGCUGUGACCCUGUCAAUUAGUUGACAUUAAUCUUUUCCAGGAAAGAAGGCAAAACCUGUUCAGAGCUAACAAAAAAACUACAUCUGGGAAUUCUUUGUCUUUAACCAUUUGAAAAUAAUUAUGAUUGCUCCAAAAGAAUGAGGAAAAGGUUCUUUGUACUUAAACAAUACAACCAUUUGGACUUCAUUACUGAUUUAAAUACUUUCACCUCUGGCUGUCUGGUUACAGGUUGUUGGGAAGAUCAAAAAAGGCUUCUGUAGCAGUGAGAUAUGAUUAAAUGGUAAAACUGGUGAAAACCUUUUAACUUUAUUGCAUCUCUGAGAUUAAGCAAAUAUACUGUCCGUAGUUCACAAGAGGACUUGUGGCACAAUCAGGCAAACCUCCUCUUGCACUGGUCUCAUCGAAAGGAAUAGAAUUUGUAUGGUUCUUGUGUGGUUCUUAUUUCUUUCAACUAAACUUUUUUUAAAAAAUGAAAAGAUUCUUGACAAUUUUUGCCAUUCAUAUUAUGCAGUAUCUUAUGCUGAGUAGGGAUGUACACGAACCAGUUCGAAGGCCCUUUUACGGGCAUCUGAACUGGUUCGAAUCCUGGUCAACUUGAAGCUUCAAAGGCAGGAGGUAUGGCUUUAAGGGUGGGAGAGGAUGCAUUCCCCACCCCGCCACAUUUCCCCCACUGGUGCGCAAUCCCCUAAAAGCCUGUCGGGGCGGCAGCCUACCUCCCUGCCACCACAUCCUGACAUUGACCGGAUAUAACUGGAAGCACUAGCUGCGCCUGUGCACGUCACGCGCACUCUUGCGUUGUGCGUGAUGUGUGCAGGCAAAAUUAGUACUUCCAGUUAUAUCCGGUCAACAUCGGGACAGAAUGGCAGAGAGGUACACUGCUGCCUUGCCCUGACUGCUUCCCUUUUAGGGGAUCACGUGGUGGCGGGGGUUUAAGUGCCUCCUCCCCCACCCUUAAAGCCAUCCCCCACCGUCAAACCGGCCCCUGCUGGUUCCAUGCGCAUCCCUAAUGUUGAGCUGACUAAAGAAGUGAAGGUAAGUUAAUUGUAAGGCUAAUUUGCUCUAUGCAGAGACAUUUUAGAGGAACAACCAGUGAGACCUGAGAUAGGUAAGAGGAACAACUGGGAUCCUGGAAGAAGAUUAUUUAAAUUAAAGAGGAUGCUUUAAUCCCAUAAAUUCCAAUGGGAUUUAAGUUGUUUUUUUGCAGAAUUGCAGACUAAAUGAUUUGUGGUUUAUCUAUGAAUGCUUAGGAAUUUUUUUAAAAAUCCAGUAAAUUUCUGCUCCUUUAGUUAUUGAUGGCUUUAUGUUCACUCUAAAUCUGUAUUCACUCUUGCAACAUUUGAAACCAUAUUUUCAACAGUAAAAGAUGUGGACCAUAGUUAUAUGCCAAAUGUUAAGAGUUUGAUCUUAAUCUCCGUUUACUGCAUUCAAAUCUACCUUUUCACACUGUGCCUGCCAUUCCUCUGGUUACAUGAGAAAAAUAUAGCUUCUACAGCAGUAAACCUACUUGUUAAGCAAAAAUGAAGAUUUUUGUAGCACUUACUGACCAAUUUAUUUCAUCAUAAGCUUUCAUGGAGCCCUUUCUCAUGAUCCAUGAGAAGUAUUUGAAAGGGCAAGGGGAGGAAGCCUUGAAAAUCUUGCCUACCCCACAGACGAUCCUCUCCUUGUUGCUGUGUGGGCUGAUUGCCCACCCAGACAAUUCCUGGCUCCUGCUGGCAGCAGGGAGGUUUGGGGGCCAGAAGGCCUCCGGAACUUCCAUAAUGCACUGUGUGAGUAUGUGGUGCAUAAUGGGGAAUUUUGUGAUGCCAUGUGUGGCUGCUGGUGUGUAGGUGCCAUGCAGAGCCCUGUGGCACUGACACACAAUCAGCUCUGGUGAAUGUCGCCCUUAACCAAGGCUAACAGCUGGGGCUCCCUUGUGAGUUUGCUGCCAUGCUGCCACCAGGAGCUGCAUGUCUCUGGGCGGUUCACACGCACAGGCAAAACCGGGCUUCACUUUUGCCUAUGCACGAGAACAGCCUCAUGUAUUGAAGGUGAAGUGUGCCAUCAAGUUGAUUUCAACUCCUGGCGCCCACAGAGCCCUGUGGUUUUCUUUGGUAGAAUACAGGAGGGGUUUAGCAUUCCCUCCUCCCACGCAGUAUGAGAUGAUGCCUUUCAGCAUCUUCCUACAUCACUGCUGCCCAAUAUAGUACCAGCGGGGAUUCGGUCCGGCAACCUUCUGCCUGUUAGUCAAGUGUUUCCCCGCUGCGAGUCCAUCAAAUGCAAAAAAUAUUAUAUUCAACUGGAUAGUGUACACAUGGAGCUAAAGAAAGAGGAAAACAUGUUAAAGGGGGGGAUCAAAGGCCUUUGGGAUGGAAGAAGUGCAAUUAGUGCUUGUUAUUAUGCAAAAUUCAAAUAUAUGUGUGAUGAGCGACACCCUGUUCGUCAGCCUGGGACACUACUAGUGAGUGGGAUUUAUACCCCAAACUAGAGAGGUUAACAUCCUUAUACUUCUGUGGACCAAUAUCACUGAGAAAUAUGUAUUUUAUUUCUACUUCCCUUUAUCUAACUUUUGCUGCCACCACCAAGCUCUUGCUACUUGGGUUUUUAUCCUGACAACCCCUAGUAGAGUAGCUGAGGGCUGCAUGAGGAGAAAGUAUAACACACAUAUGUGAAAAAACUUGGUUUAGCCAGAAAGACUGUAUUUAACUUUUGAGUGAACCACCUAGGGAUUCAUUUAAUGAAAGAUGGUAUAGAAAUUUAACUAUAAAUAAAUAAAAUAAAAUAAAAUAAAUAAAAUGUGUAAAACCUUUGCUCCAGCCAGAACAGGUAGAAUCAACCUGAUAUAAUGAAAUAUAAGACAACUGCAUGAUCUCCUGAAUACAUAUUUUUAAAAAGAGCUACAUGAACCUUGGCAAUUGAAUCAGUACCAAAUCAAAUUAGUAUGAAUCAAACUGCAGUCCAGUUUGCGUUGAGUCUGGGCUAACUUGAUUUGGCCCCCAGUUUAAACUGCUGAAGAUUUGCUUCCCGACCCUUUACCCCAGCACUCACCUGACCCCUACACUAACUUACCAGACUGGACACAGGCUAGUGAACUCAUUAUGCUAAUAAUGACUGAGGGAGAAGCAGCUGACUGCCAAAGUUUUACAUUUUUAAAUACUCUGGGCAUCAUUUUUCUUCUUUAAUUAUCCUGCAGUCCUGGAAAAUGGUAUAGGUUCUUAGGAAUUCUAGUCUUUUGGGGAGGAUGGCGGUGCCAUUGCUGCUCCUUCACCUCCGGAAGCAAGAUUCGUUCACUAGCAUGCCCAUGCUUCAAUCCAUUCAAAGCAACCUCGCAGAAUCAAGCCAAGCAAAGUUGACCCCACCUCACCAAAGGGCUGAGACAGCACCCAAAUCAAAGCCAUGCUGCUUCACAUGUGCCUCAAAAAGUAUUUACCACUUUUUUCAGAACAACACUUCCUAGGAGUUCUAUUUAAAACUACAAAAGCGUGCAGCAUAGAUAUUUCCACGGUUAAAACCUAAAGCAAGGGCAGAAGUAGUUCAGGAUCACUGGUAGAUCACUGGAUGACUUGUAGCAUUGGUCAGAGUUUCUGACUCCCAAUUGUUUAAUAAUACCCACAACAAACUUACUCAUAGAGAUGUUACUUGUACUUUCCAAAACAUGCCACUUGUCAAAAUCGUCAAUUUAAAUUCUUAAUGCACAUUUCAAAGCAAAUGUAAAAUAAACAUACUUCCUAAGAUGAAAAAAGGUAGGUCGAAUCCCUUAUCUGUAGUAACUGAGAUGUAGCUUUGUAUUUGUGUAGUUGGGAUUUGUGGUUCUAGUAAAACAAAACAAAACAAACCCAAGUAGAUCCUUCAGGUCUGAAAUCUGCCCAUAUCUGGCCUAAUGGAUUAAUGACUGAAAAUAAUUUUAUUAUUUAAUUAUUUAACAUAUUUUUAUACUGCCCAAAACCUACGUCUCUGGGCAGUUUACAACAAGAUAAAAACAACAUUAAAACAUUAGUUAAAAACAAAAACAAGAAAUUUAAAACACAACAAUUUAAAAUGGCAGUAUUGUGUUAAAUCAGGUCUCUACAGUGAUUCAAAAGUGUCACUGAAAUAAUAAUAAUGAAGUUUUAAAGUACUGAUGUAUUGGUCCAGUAUUUAAAGUACACAUAUGUGCUCUGAAACAAACAUACAAUCAUAUGUGGAGAGGAGAGCUUUGGUAGCAAGCAUGACUUUUCCCCUUAGCUAAGCAGGGUCCACCCUGGUUGCAUAUGAAUGGGAGACUAGAAGUGUGAGCACUGUAAGAUGCCCUUAGGGGAUGGAGCCACUCUGGGAAGAGCAGAAGGUUUCAAGUUCCCUCCCUGGCUUCUCCAAGAUAGAGCUGAGAGAGAUUCCUGCCUGCAACCUUGGAGAAGUUGCUGCCAGUCUGUGAAGACAAUACUGAGCUAGAUGGACCAACGGUAAGAUCCUGCUUUAGAGGUAUUCCGUUUCUACUACCCAGGCCUACUAAUGCCCAGUUCAGCCUUCUGAAUGAUGUUCUUAGGUAUCUUGUUUUGAAAUAGCCUUACUGGACCAACGGUAAGAUAGGUAAGAUAUCAUGAUGGAAAUUGCACGUCAGCAGCAUUUGAGAUGGGGGGUGUAUGUGUUUUUGUUUUUUCUACACAAAGGUAAGUGGAGCACACAGACCAGUCUUCUCAGUUAUUUGCAUCUUAUGCAGGGGGGGAAGAAGGUUAUGGUUAUACGUUUCAAAGCAAAUAUAAAAUAAACAGAUACUUCAUAAGAUCUUGAUACAAGGCUAAUGUUUAUACAUUUAUUAUUUACUUAUACAUUUAUUAUCUUCCUAUCCCAAGGGAAACUGCAAUAAAUCUGCAUUAUGUUUCAUCACUACUCUGAAGCAAUAUUCUAUUUUUUCACAUGCCACGUUCCAGGUCUUGACAGCAAUAUAGGGGAUGCCUUAUCUCGGAUACAGGUGCAGUGCUUUUGGGCCUUGGCUCCAGUGUCCAAGGCACAGGCCAAGAUUCUGCCAGCCAGUCUGCGAAAGCCUGGAGGCUUAAGGUAGAGCGAGUUAUAUGUCACUCACUUGCUCCCAGCACCAGAGUGUGCUAUUCUGCUUUCAUAAGUGAGUUUGGCUGGUUUAGGAAAUCUGACAUCUUGCAAGAACUGUGGCCCAUACCAGUUGAACACCUCUUGCCAUUCUGUGUAAAGCUGCAUGAGGGAAGGGUGGCUUCAGGGUCCAUCGGUGGGCACCUUGCUACCUAGGCUUUUCAAUAUAAAUUGGAGGAAUUCUUUGACACUGCCACUGACCUUAGGGUUUGAUGAAUGUUGGAAAGGUGGUCCCGUGCCCACCCUCCUUGACCCAAAUCUCAUUUUCCAUUUUCACUGCAGGUGAUUGGUAAUAUUAUGUUGCACUUUAACUCCAUUUGUUUUUCUGCUUUUGAGGUUCUGCUGUUUAAAGCUUCUAUCCUGGUGGCAUUCUUUGAUGCCCUGUGGAUAUACGAGUUGCUAGUAUCUUCCAGGUUUGACCCAUCCAGUCAGGCCUUGGGAAAAUGGCAAGUUCAGGUUUUAGAGGACAGGGCAGUCAUUCACAUCUAGACCUCCAGAAACAAUCAGAGGAGCAGGGGGUUGCAAGAACCUAAGGGGUAUACUAGUGGGUCAAAUGGGCCGUAACCCAAAGUUUGGCUUAAAAAAAAGCCAAACCUGCCAACUUGUGCCCAAGUGCUUCAGACACAUGAUCUAUCAGUGUGUCUGUGUGACUGUGUCUGUGCAGGCUUUAAUGGAUUAUAUCCAGAUUAGGGGCAACAAUGAUGGCCACCUGUUUCACCACGCCAAUCAAUUUCCCCUUCAAUCCAUGGACUUUGGAAUUUGUGUCUUAUGUAUUUGGGCAGCAUCUACAGCAGUAGCUGUGGGCCUGACUGAGGACCAGAGUUGUAGUAUUGGUCACUGGCACUCUGCUGCCUGCCAACAUUACAUUUGGAGUUUCUGUCCUGAUGCUUAAAGUCCCCAAAUGGUGAGAGUGGACAUUAACAUCCUUUUUCUUUUACAGAUGCUAAGGGACGUGCCUAUGCAGUUCGGGUGCUAAUUUGUGGCUACAGUUUCAUUUUUACAGCAUGUUGCUACAGCUACAGCACCCAGCUGGGUUGCCACGACUUUGCUGAAGUGGAGUGACCUGGUCAGCGUGAGGUGCUUUGGAGCAGUGUUUCCUCUAACAGGGAUUCUCAGAUGUUGACUACAACUCCCAUAACCCCCAAACAAAGGCUAUUGCAGCUAGGGAUUCUGCGAAUUGUAGUCAACAACAUCUGGAAAUCCCUGUUAGAGGGAACACUUCUUUGGAGCUGCCUUUUGCCUUUGAUAGAUGAGUAAUCUAGAAAUCAUCAGCCACCUCACAUCUGGAUUUUGCAUCUUGGAAGCAAUGAUUGGAACCUGUUGAAGGGCAAUGCACUAAUUUUGCAGGCCUUGGCCAAUAUUACAGUUAUACUGGCCCAUUGGCCUGGAGUUUUGUUAUUGUGAUCCAACUUGGUCCCUUGACAAUUUUGGAAGGGUGAAGGGGAUCUCAGAUGUAUGGACAGAGCAUGUAAGAAAGUCAGUCCUGAGGUGGGCAAGGUGCUCUUGUUCAUGGGCAGAAGGGUCAUUCUUCACCCUGAUAUAAAACAUGAUUGCUCUUCUCUACUGAGCAGACAGCACGCACCUUUCUGACAAAGGAAACUAUUGUUUCUGAGUGACUUGCAACAAGGCCUGCAUGAGGCUAUUGUUUUUAUGGGGGAAAGGGGACUAAACUGAGGUUUACCCCCAUUUAUAUAGCAGGUGAGUGCAAGCUUUAGGAAGGUAGGACCCUUCAUUGGUGUUCAGCCAGAGGCAUCAUUUUGGUGAAAGGAGACUCCAUGGGACAGCCUCUCAGGGUUUUGUGACCCAGGGGUAGGGAAUGGAACCCUUUGGGGAGCUGCCCAGCUCACUCAGAGCUAUGUGGCGUGGGGGAUGGUGACUCAGGCAACCCUCACUCAAAACAGAUUGCUGUGUGGUGAGGAGGAUUGCUAUGUGGUAAGGACGACUGCUGCCAACCUCCACUUUGCCUAAACAUGGGGAAACAGCUCUUUGUAGGAGGCUGCCUGCAUCCCACUAGGGAGGAGUACCCGCACUCUAGCUAGUAAGUUAAGUUCUGGCUCUCUUGCAUUUGUAAGAAGAUUAAGAAAGUGUGGCUUAGUCACUCCAUCUACUCAUGUCAUGUCUUCAUUGGGGUUUGGGCGCAAUGCUGCUUCCACCCAUGUGCCUGUGUGUUCUGGGUGGGGGGCAGGUUUGUGUCCAACCGUUGGGAUGGGACAUACUGGAGCAGCCAUCAUCUGCUGGGUGGGCAGGGCAUUUAGUAAUGCUCACCCAAUGAGAGGCAGGUGUGUUGGCCACCUUAUAAGGCUGGCCACACCUGCCCAACAUCACUCCAUGUGUAGCUCAGCACCUACCCGCCCACCCUGUACUCUGUGGGGGAUAGCCGGUCGCCACAAGGGGCCGAGUAGGAAUUUUUUGUUUCCACCUGAUUGGCAUGUGGUGGGAACUUUUUCGCCUACUCCCCACUGAGUUUGUUUUGGGCUCUAUGUUAGGGGUGGUGCUUUAACUAGGUUAGCCUUUGUCACAUGGGCAGGUGAGUGCAGGCUUUAGAUAGGUAGGACUACUCAUUGGUGUUCGGCUGGAGACACCAUUUUGGUAAAGGGGGUCUCCAUGGAACAGCCUCUCAGGCUUUUGUGAACCCUUUGAGGAGUCGUUCAGCUCACCCUCUCAGAGCUUUGAAUUGGGGGGGGGGGUGACUCAGGCAACCCUCCCUCAACACAGAUUGCUCUGUGGUAAGGAGGAAGCGAGAGGUUGGAUGACUCGCCCAGUCAUGUGGAAACAGCUCGCUUAGGAGGCUGCAUUCCACUGGGGGGAGUGCCUGCACUCUAGUUAGUAAGUUAAGUUCUUGCUCCAUUGCAUUAUCUAAGAAGAUUAAUAAAGUGUGCCCUUAGUUACUCCA